AGAGAAUCGAUUGAACCCCGGAGGCGGAGGUUGCAGUGAGCCAAGAUUGCGCCAUUGCACUCCAGCCUGGGCACAGGC
rnacentral:snRNA from 1 species